rnacentral:lncRNA from 1 species
UCGAUUAAUGGGUAUUAUGGGAUAAUAUGUAAUGGGUAGUGAGAAACCGUUGAAUCGACCCUAAUUGGGAUUUGGAAUGCUGAAAAUUUGUGAUGAAUAGGUUGAGUGAAACCGUAAUCAAAUUGAUUAAUUGUGUGUGUAAUCAAACCGAUAAAUUGGUGAUGAAUGGCGACGAGUAGGUUUGAGUGGGAAGGGUCUGGAAUGGGCACAUGAGAUCCCUGCCAAAGAAAACGCGUCUGGUGAACUGUCAUGUUCGCCUAGCGAACAUAACCUUCGCCUAGCGAAGG